rnacentral:rRNA from 1 species
GACGUAGGGCGCGAGCGUUGUCCGGAUUUAUUGGGCGUAAAGAGCUCGUAGGCGGCUUGUCGCGUCGACUGUGAAAACCCGCGGCUCAACUGUGGGCUUGCAGUCGAUACGGGCAGGCUGGAGUUCGGUAGGGGAGACUGGAAUUCCUGGUGUAGCGGUGAAAUGCGCAGAUAUCAGGAAGAACACCCCGUGGGCGAAAAGCGGCUCUCUGGGGACGGUACUGACGCUGAGACGCGAAAGCGUGGGGGAGCGAACAGG